GAUGUUUUUGAGAAAAUAAAUAAAUGUAUCAUAAAAUCAAAUUUAAUAUAUGUCUAUAAAUAAUUAUCCUCUUGGCCAAAAUUGCAACAUAGGCGAUUUGAGGUUUGAUGAGAUUUAUUUCACUCGAUGGAAGGUUAGUCAAGCAUUAUUACCUACUAACAAAGCACCACUAUGCACAAAGAGUGAUGAUCAAGAAAUUACAUUUUCUGGAAGGCUCCACAUAUUGGACCUUGUAAAUGGAUCAUGUCGAUAAAAGGAAGAUGUCAGCCGAGUGUGGGAUGCCACGCAUCCUCUCUACCAGGGAAAACCAACGUGGUACUCGAGCAAGACUAGGCAUUGUAGGCAUUGUCGUUUUUGCUAAUAAAAAUUGUUUUGUCAAUAAGUACUCAUCUAGUAUAAUUUUCACGACACAAUCAAUCAACAUACAUUUUAUUUA